GCUAGUUGGUAAGGUAACGGCUUACCAAGGCGACGAUGCGUAGCCGGCCUGAGAGGGUGAACGGCCACAUUGGGACUGAGACACGGCCCAAACUCCUACGGGAGGCAGCAGUAGGGAAUUUUCGGCAAUGGGGGAAACCCUGACCGAGCAACGCCGCGUGAAGGAAGAAGGAAUUCGUUUCGUAAACUUCUGUUAUAAAGGAAGAAAGAUGAUAUCAGGAAAUGGAUGUCAAGUGACGGUACUUUAUGAGAAAGCCACGGCUAACUACGUGCCAGCAGCCGCGGUAAUACGUAGGUGGCAAGCGUUAUCCGGAAUUAUUGGGCGUAAAGAGGGAGCAGGCGGUAACAAAGGUCUGUGGUGAAAGCCUGAAGCUUAACUUCAGUAAGCCAUAGAAACCAGGUAACUAGAGUGCAAGAGAGGAUCGUGGAAUUCCAUGUGUAGCGGUGAAAUGCGUAGAUAUAUGGAGGAACACCAGUGGCGAAGGCGACGAUCUGGCUUGUAACUGACGCUGAGUCCCGAAAGCGUGAGGAGCAAAUAGGAUUAGAUACCCUAGUAGUCCACGCCGUAAACGAUGAGUACUAAGUGUUGGGGGUCGAACCUCAGUGCUGCAUUUAACGCAAUAAGUACUCCGCCUGAGUAGUACGUUCGCAAGAAUGAAAACUCAAAGGAUUUGACGGGGGCCCGCACAAGCGUUGGAAGCAUGUUGUUUUAUUCGAAGCAACGCGAAGAACCUUACCAGGCCUUGACAUAUAUCUUAAAGGCUCCAGAGAUGGAGAAGUAUAGUUAUAGAUAUAACAGGUGGU
rnacentral:rRNA from 1 species